CCUGGACAUCAAGAGCGAAACUCCGUCCCAAAUAAUAAUAAUAAUAAUAAUAAUAAUAAUAAUACACAUCAGAGCAAAUGUAGGCUAUAUAAUAUGCUAAUAUAUAAACUCUGCCCUGCUUUAUCUACUUCUCUCCAAAUGAACAAAAAAUAAUAUCAGCGCAUUUAUUGAACUGAUUUAGUAUAGACACCAGUGUAACUCAAAGUCUAGAGCUAACCCCUGAAGCAGGUGUACAUUUAAUACAAUUUGAUGAUAAUGUAUACAUAAAGUUCAACUAGUCUUUCUCCUUGGAAAUCUCAUUGUCAAUUUCAUAAGGGACGCUAUACUGAGAAAAUGAAUCACAGGCCAGUUUUCUAGUACUAGGAGCUUGUGAACCAGUAUUUUCCAUGAACAAAAUCAACUUCCAAUGUGACCACAAGCAAACUUCACAUUCGUAUCUUCUGACAUCAUAACUAAUGGAUAUUCUACGGAAGAUAUCAAACAUAAACACUACCGUAAGAAAAGUCAGAAGGUUUUCAUGAAACUGCGUUUUCAGAAUUUUAACAAGCAACUACUUACCUCCCACUAUGCACAAGGAAAUUUAAAUGUAUUAAAAAUCCCUAAACCCCUCCAGUGUCAAAAAUAAAGGCCUUAAAAUCAUUUUCCAAACUGCGCUGAAAUCUGUCCGGCAAGCAAAAGUUCUCCUUCCCAUUAGAGUAAUAAGGCUGGCAUUUCAGUUUACUUGCAUGAAACCAAUUUUGCAAGUGACCACCUAAGUUUUGGCACAUAUUCUAAUAUAACCGUAUCUGAGAGAUCCAAGGACCUGGACACACUGCCUAGUAUGUGAAACCCGUCAGUUCAGCUCCCAUGCACCCGGCCAUAUCCCGCUAGCCGGUGGCCCCUUUCCACAUGCUGACGCACUGCCCAGCCCUGUACCGUUGGCGACCAGUGCAAAGUACCAGCCCAGUCUCAGAAACUUUGACUCAGUUAUCAGGACACUGAGCACCCACAAGCUGGGUGGGGGCUGGGGGGAGGUGUUUGUCAAGGCUCAGGAGGUCAACUCUGAAGCGGGGCAUUCCCUGCAGGUAGGGAUCUGCCCGGAACGCAGCCCAUCCCAAACUACAAAACCACAAGCAUCAACAGCAGGAGCCAAGCAAAGUGCUCGGGGGAGGAAGAGGAAGGGCGAGGGAGAGAAACGGUCGAGCACAGAAGCCUGCGUGUGGGUAAGAAAAUACUCUAACCACUCGCCCACCGGACGCAGGGCUGCUGGGACUGCGAAUCCAGCAGCAGCCACAGCGUAGCAGCGGGCGGCAGCCGCCCAGGCAGCAAUGUCAGGAGGGCACAGCUGGAGGCGGCGGCCGCAGAAGCCACUACCCCGCCCCCAGGCUAAAGUGUGCAAGGUGAGGCAAUGUGCUGCUGAAGAUACUCAGAUCCAUCGACUACCAGGAGAGGGGAGGAAGAUGUAGACUACAGUCUAUGGCUCAAACCAUUUGCAGCAGAAAAAUGAAGCGUAUCCUUUAACUGGGCAGAGAAGCCAUCCUGAGCAGCAGAGUACAGAUGCAGUGACUCAUGCCUAUAAUCCCAGGUUAAGGCGGA